rnacentral:lncRNA from 1 species
ACAGAGAGCUGGGACUCAUGUGUCUGACUCCCAGGUGACACAUUCUGUGGUAUCAACAAGGCAGUCAAGAUUUUCAAAUGCCAGGUCCAACUUCUGACCAGGAAGAACUGCCCUCCCCCAUCAGAGAGGUGCACCUUCAGACGGUGUGUUAGAAGAAUUCUUAUGAAGUACUUAGAAAUCUGUGGAAGACUAUUAAAAUACAAAGGAAGCACUCUCCUAAUAGUCAAACCCACGACAUUUUCUUGAGCUUACUCCAAGGUAAAAACUCAAAUGUCGUACCAAGGGCCUAACAAGGAGCCUAGGCUAGGGACCCAGAAUGGCAAGAUGGGGUCUCACCAGGUGGCCAUAUGUGAGAGGAGGACCUGACUGUGCCACUCAGCUCAGCCCAGCUGUCAGGUGCAGGACAGGCAACAGGAGGUUCCUCCCCUCUCAGUGAGCAACAUUCAUCACUUUUAUGAAGCCAGCUGGUUGAUCCCACCCACGUGGGAAGAUCUAGAGGAUGGUGGUGAGGGUUGGACGAACCUGAUUCUGGACAAGGAGGCCUUUAGAUUUCUGCUUAGAUUCACUUAAAGAAGAAGACCUGUGUUGAGUUAAAAACGACCUUCAGGUCUAGGGAGAACUUUAAAAUGGGAAAUAUCCUCUUCACUUCAAUGAGAUGGGAACAAAAGCAAGCCAACUGGACAGUCCAAGAAAGACCCCAGGAUUGGUCUGGAGGAGAACUGUGGAUGUUAUGGCAAGUGUGACGAUCUCUCCUACUCAACCACACAGAGUCAAAGUCCCAGUCAUUCUCUCAGGGCCCUCACUUUCAAAGAGAGGCCCUUUGAGGAACUUUCUCUUGUAGCAGAACUAAUCAUCAAGCUCUCUGCUCACAGGAUCCCUGGGCCAGCGCCUCUGAGAGCACAAUGCUGCCCACAUGAUCCUAAGCCUUCCCCUACCUGCUGUCUCCUCUUUGUUUUUCUAUCAUUGAGCUUCCCCUUCACACCCUGCUCCCCUGGAUCCUACUCCCACCUUGCCACAUCCAUCUCCAAACCAUUGCCUUUGGGAUUCAUAUAGUUCUGUUCAUCCUUUAAAUCGGGACUGAAGGCCCACUCUUCUAGGAAGCCAUCCUGGGUUGAUGCUACUCUAGAAGGAAAUAAAAUUUAGAAGCCUUUUCCAGAAGCCUGACGUUCAUGUUUCUUCAACUCUGAGUUCCUGCCAUCAGUGUUGACUGCUAGCUUGAUACAUUUUCCAGAGAUAGACAGCCCAACCAGGCCAGGUGUCUGGCUUCUGACAGAGGACAGGGGCCCCUGUUGUGGGGCUCUAGGUCAUUUGGCUGCACCACUCCUUCUAUGACUCCUUCCUGAUGGGAAGCUCUUGGAGACAAAGAAACUUCACAGUACUUUGACUAAGAGAUAGCUAUUCUCUGUGGGGCUCUGGAUCUGGACUGGAGACCAGUGACUCAGAAGCUGUUUUUCACUCUGUGACUUCCAUGGGUCCUCUGAAGACUCCGGCAAUCCCAUCUUCUUUACAUGCUAUACUUAUUUUCACAGCUCUCACCCCACAGAAGGCCACACUGAGACAGCGGAGAGAAGUUGGACACUUCAGCGUGCCCCCUGCCGUCCCAAGGUCUGCACCAGCCUCCUCUCUCCAGGGCCUUCUCUUCCCUGCACACGCAGAGCUGCAGGAAGAUUCCUGAGGAAGGGAGGCGCUUCUCUACUCCGCCCAGUUCCACAUCUGUGGCCUCUUGAACUCGUCCCCAGGCUCUCUCCUGCUUCUCACUAGUGCUCCCAUGGUGCCACCUUGGUCCCCGAAUCUUCCUUGCACCGUCACACCAGCUGCAGCUCC